rnacentral:rRNA from 1 species
UACGUAGGGUGCAAGCGUUAAUCGGAAUUACUGGGCGUAAAGCGUGCGCAGGCGGUUAUGUAAGACAGUUGUGAAAUCCCCGGGCUUAACCUGGGAACUGCAUUUGUGACUGGCGAGCUAGAGUAUGGCAGAGGGGGGUAGAAUUCCACGUGUAGCAGUGAAAUGCGUAGAGAUGUGGAGGAAUACCGAUGGCGAAGGCAGCCCCCUGGGCCAAUACUGACGCUCAUGCACGAAGGCGUGGGGAGCAAACAGG